rnacentral:rRNA from 1 species
GUCUACGGCCAUGUUACUGUGAACAAGCCCGAUCCUGUCUGAUCUUGGAAGCUAAGCAGGGUCGGGCCUCGUUAGUACUUGGAUGGGAGACCGCCUAGGAAGACCAGGUGCUAUAGGUG